GACGAACGCUGGCGGCGUGCUUAAUACAUGCAAGUCGAACGCAGUGGGGACGGGUGAGUAACACGUGGGUAACCUCCCAUCAGAGGGGAUAACACUUGGAAACAGGUGCUAAACCGAUACUGAUGGAUGAACCCGCGGUGCAUUAGCUAGUGGGUGAGGGAACGGCUCACCAAGGCCACGAUGCAUAGCCGGCCUGGGAGGGUGGUCGGCCACACUGGGAGUUGAACAAGGCCCAAAACCCUACGGGAGCAAGAAGUGGGGAUUCUCGGCAAAGGGACGAAAGUCUGACGGACAAACGCGGGUGGAGUAAGAAGGGUUUCGGAUCGUAAAACUCUGUUGUUAGAGAAGCGGUAUCUAACCAGAAAGCCACGGCUAACUACGUGCCAGCAGCCGCGGUAAUAC
rnacentral:rRNA from 1 species